rnacentral:rRNA from 1 species
AGGGUUUGAUUAUGGCUCAGGAUGAACGCCGGCGGCGUGCCUAAUACAUGCAAGUCGAGCGGGGCCCGCAAGGGUCCAGCGGCAAACGGGUGAGUAACACGUUGGUAACCUGCCCCUCGGAUCGGAAUACCGGGGAGAAAUCUCCGCUAAUGCCGGAUAUGUGCGCCUGGCUCGGGCCGGGCGGACGAAAGGGGGCCGAAAGGCCUCGCCGGGGGAUGGGCCUGCGGCGCAUCAGCCAGUUGGCGGGACAAAGGCCCACCAAAGCGAGGAUGCGUAGCCGGACUGAGAGGUCGGCCGGCCACAUUGGAACUGAGACACGGUCCAG